AGAGAACGAGUGGGGGAUGCGUGCUUAGUGUGUACUGAGUGUGAGGGAGAUUUUUAACUUAUUUUUUUUAUUUUAUUUUUCGGUGAGUGAGAGAUUGGAGAGAGAGCAAGGGAAAGACGUGUCUUUUCAAUUUCUUCUUUUUUUUUGUUUUUUUUCGUUUUCUUUUGUAGUCCUUUUUUUUUGUUUUUCUUAGAGUGUGUAGGCGAAGUGGUGAGAGAUACCGAGAGUUUUUCUUUUUCUUUUUAUCCUUCAGCCAGUUGGAAAAUGUGGAGAGAGAUAUCUCCAAAAGGAUUUGGUGGUUGCCCCCACCAUCCCACCUUUUUUUUCUUUGGAUAUCUUUUCAAAAUCCCAAAAGGUGAGUUGUUGCUAG
rnacentral:lncRNA from 1 species